rnacentral:rRNA from 1 species
GACGUAGGAGGCGAGCGUUAUCCGGAUUCACUGGGCGUAAAGCGCAUGUAGGCGGUUGAUUAAGUCCGUUGUUAAAGCCCCUGGCUCAACUGGGGGAGGUCAAUGGAGACUAUUCGACUUGAGGGCAACAGAGGCACAUGGAACUCCCGGUGUAGCGGUGGAAUGCGUAGAGAUCGGGAAGAACACCCGUGGCGAAGGCGGUGUGCUGGGUUGCAACUGACGCUGAGAUGCGAAAGUGUGGGGAGCAAACGGGGAGUUAAGAAACCCCGAUGAGAACCGU